UUAAGCGACGAAGCGUACACGGUGGAUGCCCUGGCAGUCAGAGGCGAUGAAGGACGUGCUAAUCUGCGAUAAGCGUCGGUAAGGUGAUAUGAACCGUUAUAACCGGCGAUUUCCGAAUGGGGAAACCCAGUGUGAUUCGUCACACUAUCAUUAACUGAAUCCAUAGGUUAAUGAGGCGAACCGGGGGAACUGAAACAUCUAAGUACCCCGAGGAAAAGAAAUCAACCGAGAUUCCCCCAGUAGCGGCGAGCGAACGGGGAGCAGCCCAGAGCCUGAAUCAGUGUGUGUGUUAGUGGAAGCGUCUGGAAAGGCGCGCGAUACAGGGUGACAGCCCCGUACACAAAAAUGCACAUGCUGUGAGCUCGAUGAGUAGGGCGGGACACGUGGUAUCCUGUCUGAAUAUGGGGGGACCAUCCUCCAAGGCUAAAUACUCCUGACUGACCGAUAGUGAACCAGUACCGUGAGGGAAAGGCGAAAAGAACCCCGGCGAGGGGAGUGAAAAAGAACCUGAAACCGUGUACGUACAAGCAGUGGGAGCCUCUUUAUGGGGUGACUGCGUACCUUUUGUAUAAUGGGUCAGCGACUUAUAUUCUGUAGCAAGGUUAACCGAAUAGGGGAGCCGAAGGGAAACCGAGUCUUAACUGGGCGUUAAGUUGCAGGGUAUAGACCCGAAACCCGGUGAUCUAGCCAUGGGCAGGUUGAAGGUUGGGUAACACUAACUGGAGGACCGAACCGACUAAUGUUGAAAAAUUAGCGGAUGACUUGUGGCUGGGGGUGAAAGGCCAAUCAAACCGGGAGAUAGCUGGUUCUCCCCGAAAGCUAUUUAGGUAGCGCCUCGUGAAUUCAUCUCCGGGGGUAGAGCACUGUUUCGGCAAGGGGGUCAUCCCGACUUACCAACCCGAUGCAAACUGCGAAUACCGGAGAAUGUUAUCACGGGAGACACACGGCGGGUGCUAACGUCCGUCGUGAAGAGGGAAACAACCCAGACCGCCAGCUAAGGUCCCAAAGUCAUGGUUAAGUGGGAAACGAUGUGGGAAGGCCCAGACAGCCAGGAUGUUGGCUUAGAAGCAGCCAUCAUUUAAAGAAAGCGUAAUAGCUCACUGGUCGAGUCGGCCUGCGCGGAAGAUGUAACGGGGCUAAACCAUGCACCGAAGCUGCGGCAGCGACGCUUAUGCGUUGUUGGGUAGGGGAGCGUUCUGUAAGCCUGUGAAGGUGUGCUGUGAGGCAUGCUGGAGGUAUCAGAAGUGCGAAUGCUGACAUAAGUAACGAUAAAGCGGGUGAAAAGCCCGCUCGCCGGAAGACCAAGGGUUCCUGUCCAACGUUAAUCGGGGCAGGGUGAGUCGACCCCUAAGGCGAGGCCGAAAGGCGUAGUCGAUGGGAAACAGGUUAAUAUUCCUGUACUUGGUGUUACUGCGAAGGGGGGACGGAGAAGGCUAUGUUGGCCGGGCGACGGUUGUCCCGGUUUAAGCGUGUAGGCUGAUUUUCCAGGCAAAUCCGGAAAAUCAAGGCUGAGGCGUGAUGACGAGGCACUACGGUGCUGAAGCAACAAAUGCCCUGCUUCCAGGAAAAGCCUCUAAGCAUCAGGUAACAUCAAAUCGUACCCCAAACCGACACAGGUGGUCAGGUAGAGAAUACCAAGGCGCUUGAGAGAACUCGGGUGAAGGAACUAGGCAAAAUGGUGCCGUAACUUCGGGAGAAGGCACGCUGAUAUGUAGGUGAAGUCCCUCGCGGAUGGAGCUGAAAUCAGUCGAAGAUACCAGCUGGCUGCAACUGUUUAUUAAAAACACAGCACUGUGCAAACACGAAAGUGGACGUAUACGGUGUGACGCCUGCCCGGUGCCGGAAGGUUAAUUGAUGGGGUCAGCGCAAGCGAAGCUCUUGAUCGAAGCCCCGGUAAACGGCGGCCGUAACUAUAACGGUCCUAAGGUAGCGAAAUUCCUUGUCGGGUAAGUUCCGACCUGCACGAAUGGCGUAAUGAUGGCCAGGCUGUCUCCACCCGAGACUCAGUGAAAUUGAACUCGCUGUGAAGAUGCAGUGUACCCGCGGCAAGACGGAAAGACCCCGUGAACCUUUACUAUAGCUUGACACUGAACAUUGAGCCUUGAUGUGUAGGAUAGGUGGGAGGCUUAGAAGUGUGGACGCCAGUCUGCAUGGAGCCGGCCUUGAAAUACCACCCUUUAAUGUUUGAUGUUCUAACGUGGACCCGUAAUCCGGGUUGCGGACAGUGUCUGGUGGGUAGUUUGACUGGGGCGGUCUCCUCCUAAAGAGUAACGGAGGAGCACGAAGGUUGGCUAAUCCUGGUCGGACAUCAGGAGGUUAGUGCAAUGGCAUAAGCCAGCUUGACUGCGAGCGUGACGGCGCGAGCAGGUGCGAAAGCAGGUCAUAGUGAUCCGGUGGUUCUGAAUGGAAGGGCCAUCGCUCAACGGAUAAAAGGUACUCCGGGGAUAACAGGCUGAUACCGCCCAAGAGUUCAUAUCGACGGCGGUGUUUGGCACCUCGAUGUCGGCUCAUCACAUCCUGGGGCUGAAGUAGGUCCCAAGGGUAUGGCUGUUCGCCAUUUAAAGUGGUACGCGAGCUGGGUUUAGAACGUCGUGAGACAGUUCGGUCCCUAUCUGCCGUGGGCGCUGGAGAACUGAGGGGGGCUGCUCCUAGUACGAGAGGACCGGAGUGGACGCAUCACUGGUGUUCGGGUUGUCAUGCCAAUGGCACUGCCCGGUAGCUAAAUGCGGAAGAGAUAAGUGCUGAAAGCAUCUAAGCACGAAACUUGCCCCGAGAUGAGUUCUCCCUGACUCCUUGAGAGUCCUGAAGGAACGUUGAAGACGACGACGUUGAUAGGCCGGGUGUGUAAGCGCAGCGAUGCGUUGAGCUAACCGGUACUAAUGAACCGUGAGGCUUAACCUU
rnacentral:rRNA from 1 species